rnacentral:rRNA from 1 species
UACGUAGGGGGCAAGCGUUGUCCGGAUUUAUUGGGCGUAAAGAGCGUGUAGGCGGCCAGGUAGGUCUGCUGUGAAAACUCGAGGCUCAACCUCGAGACGUCGGCGGAAACCAUCUGGCUAGAGUCCGGAAGAGGAGAGUGGAAUUCCUGGUGUAGCGGUGAAAUGCGUAGAGAUCGGAAAGAACACCAACGGCGAAAGCACUCUGCUGGGCCGACACUGACACUGAGAGACGAAAGCUAGGGGAGCGAAUGGG